UCCUACGGGAGGCAGCAGUGGGGAAUAUUGCGCAAUAGGGCGAAAGCCUGACGCAGCGACGCCGCGUGGGUGAUGAAGGCCUUCGGGUCGUAAAGCCCUGUCGGGUGGAACGAAUCCCCGCACCUCGAAUACAGGGGCGGGUUGACGGUACCACCGAAGGAAGCCCCGGCUAACUACGUGCCAGCAGCCGCGGUAAU
rnacentral:rRNA from 1 species